AGUUCAUCACUCGCUGUUUAUGAUCAACAAGGGUACCCUGCAGCAUGUCCCCAUAUGAAAUCCUUUCCGGAAUCCCUCUCGGUUACCACAGAAGAGUCAUCUUCACUUACCCAAUGGAUGAAAUUUGUUUCAUCACUAACCCUUCCUGGGAUAAAUUCAUCAGAAGAAGUUAUAGCCAUUCACAAGGGACACUCAACUUUAUUGAAUGAUGAACUGGAAGACUCCAUUGCAGGCAGCCAUCAGCAGGUGGAAGAAAGUUCUAAACCUGCAGAAAAAGCAACAAAGAAGCUGAAGGUGAAGAAGGAAAGGAAAACCAGUAAGCCCAGGAAGAACACCAGGCGGCAUGCCCAGAACAUUUUGGACAUUUGUAAAAUAUGUUAGAAACCUCUGAAGGAGACCGACUCGAGGUGGCAUGGUGAGAACAACCCAGGAUUGAAGCUCUCAGUGAAUGUGCAGAGGCCUGUCAUUGCCGAGGCAACCCACCACAACAGAAAGACUCUGCUGCAGGGCGUCGCCUGUGGCAGUAGGGCAGAGACCGCAGCAGCAGGGCAGAGCCUGCAGCAACAAGGCGGACCUCACACCAGCAGAUCGGAGCCUCGGCAGGCAAAUAGUGAGUAGACUGCCUCCUAGCUGGGCAGAACAGCGCAAUGGACACUCAUAAAGAAAGCCCCAACCACCCGAGACAGAGC
rnacentral:lncRNA from 13 species